UACGUAGGGUGCGAGCGUUGUCCGGAAUUAUUGGGCGUAAAGGGCUCGUAGGCGGUUUGUCGCGUCGGGAGUGAAAUCCACUGGCUUAACUGGUGGCUUGCUUUCGAUACGGGCAGACUGGAGGUAUGCAGGGGAGAACGGAAUUCCUGGUGUAGCGGUGAAAUGCGUAGAUAUCAGGAGGAACACCUGUGGCGAAAGCGGCUCACUGGACCAUAACUGACGCUGAUGCACGAAAGCGUGGGGAGCAAACAGG
rnacentral:rRNA from 1 species